GACGAACGCUGGCGGCGUGCCUAACACAUGCAAGUCGAACGGCAGGGCCCUGCUUUUGUGGGGUGCUCGAGUGGCGAACGGGUGAGUAACACGUGAGUAUCCUGCCCUUGUCUUUGGGAUAACUUCAGGAAACUGGGGCUAAUAUCGGAUAGGAGCUCCUGCUGCAUGGUGGGCGUUGGAAAGUUUCGGCGGUUGGGGAUGGACUCGCGGCUUAUCAGCUUGCUGGUGGGGUAGUGGCUUACCCAGGGUUUGGCGGGUAGGCGGCAUGGGAGGUGGGCCGGCGUCAAUAGGACUACGAGACGGAGCAGACGCGAACGGGAGGCAGCAGGGGGAAGUAUGACACAGUGAGCGGGAGUCUGAGACGGCGGCGCCCCGUGCGGGAAGACGGCCUUCGGGUUAUGAACCGCUGUCGCCUGUGACGAAGCGUGAGUGACGGUAAUGAAUAAAGAAGCACCGGCUAACUACGUG
rnacentral:rRNA from 1 species